rnacentral:rRNA from 1 species
UACGUAGGGUGCAGGCGUUAAUCGGAAUUACUGGGCGUAAAGCGUGCGCAGGCGGUUUGCUAAGACAGGUGUGAAAUCCCCGGGCUUAACCUGGGAACUGCGCUUGUUACUGGCAGGCUUGAGUGUGGCAGAGGGGGGUGGAAUUCCACGUGUAGCAGUGAAAUGCGUAGAGAUGUGGAGGAACACCGAUGGCGAAGGCAGCCCCAUGGGCUAACACUGACGCUCAUGCACGAAAGCGUGGGGAGCAAACAGG